rnacentral:rRNA from 1 species
UGUCGAAAGAUUCAUCGCCCCGGGAUGGGCUCGCGUAGGAUUAGCUAGUUGGCGGGGUAGAGGCCCACCAAGGCGACGAUCCUUAGCCGGCCUGAGAGGGUGACCGGCCACAAUGGGACUGAGAUACGGCCCAUACUCCUACGGGAGGCAGCAGUAGGGAAUAUUGCGCAAUGGGCGAAAGCCUGACGCAGCAACUCCACGUGUGGGACGACGCAUUUCGGUGUGUAAACCACUGUCGGGAGGGGACAAAACGCCCGCGAGGGUGAUUGAGGGUACCUCCAGAGGAAGCACCGGCAAACUUCGUGCCAGCAGCCGCGGUAACACGAGGGGUUCGAGCGUUGUUCGGAAUCACUGGGCGUAAAGGGCGCGUAGGCGGGCCGUUAAGUCGGGGGUUUAAUUUCGGGGCCCAACCCCGGAGCCGCCCCCGAUACUGAUGGCCUUGGGUAGGUCAGGGGCUGUGGGAACACCUGGUGUAGCGGUGGAAUGCGUAGAUAUCAGGUGGAACACCAGUGGCGAAGGCGCAUAGCUGGGGC